GACGAACGCUGGCGGCGUGCUUAACACAUGCAAGUCGAACGGAAAGACCCUGCUUUUGUGGGUUGCUCGAUUGGCGAACGGGUGAGUAACACGUGAGUAACCUGCCCUUGACUUUGUGGUAACUUCUGGAAACUGGGGCUAAUACCGGAUAGGAUCUCCUGCUGCAUGGUGGUGGUUGGAAAGUUUCGGCGGUUGGGGAUGGACUCGCGGCUUAUCAGCUUGUUGGUGGGGUAGUGGCUUACCAAGGCUUUGACGGGUAGCCGGCCUGAGAGGGUGACCGGCCACAUUGGGACUGAGAUACGGCGCAGACGCCUACGGGAGGCAGCAGUGGGGAAUAUUGCACAAUGGGCGGAAGCCUGAUGCAGCAACGCCGCGUGCGGGAUGACGGCCUUCGGGUUGUAAACCGCUUUCGCCGGUGACGAAGCGUGAGUGACGGUAAUGGGUAAAGAAGCACCGGCUAACUACGUG
rnacentral:rRNA from 1 species